GACGAACGCUGGCGGCGUGCUUAACACAUGCAAGUCGAACGGAAAGGCCCUGCUUUUGUGGGGUGCUCGAGUGGCGAACGGGUGAGUAACACGUGAGUAACCUGCCCUUGACUUUGGGAUAUCUUCAGGAAACUGGGGCUAAUACCGGAUAGGAGCUCCUGCUGCAUGGUGGGGGUUGGAAAGUGUCGGCGGUUGGGGAUGGACUCGCGGCUUAUCAGCUUGUUGGUGGGGUAGUGGCUUACCACGGCUUUGACGGGUAGCCGGCCUGAGAGGGUGACCGGCCACAUUGGGACUGAGGGACGGCCCAGACUCCUACGGGAGGCAGCAGUGGGGAAUAUUGCACAAUGGGCGGAAGCCUGAUGCAGCAACGCCGCGUGCGGGAUGACGGCCUUCGGGUUGUAAACCGCUUUCGCCUGUGACGAAGCGGGAGUGACGGUAAUGGGUAAAGAAGCACCGGCUAACUACGUG
rnacentral:rRNA from 1 species